rnacentral:rRNA from 1 species
GUCGAGCGAACAGAUAGAAGUGCUUGCUACUUCUGACGGUUAGCGGCGAACGGGUGAGUAACACGUAAGGAAUCUACCUAUAAGCGGGGAUAACAUUCGGAAACGGGUGCUAAUACCGCAUAAUAUCCUCUUCCGCAUGGAAGAAGAUUGAAAGACGGCUCUGCUGUCACUUAUAGAUGACCUUGCGGUGCAUUAGUUAGUUGGUGGGGUAAUGGCCUACCAAGACGAUGAUGCAUAGCCGACCUGAGAGGGUGAUCGGCCACAUUUGGGACUGAGACACGGCCCAAACUCCUACGGGAGGCAGCAGUAGGGAAUCUUUCGCAAUGGGCGAAAGCCUGACGGAGCAAUGCCGCGUGAGUGAAGAAGGCCUUCGGGUCGUAAAACUCUGUUAUAAGAGAAGAACAAAUUGUAGAGUAACUGCUACAGUCUUGACGGUAUCUUAUCAGAAAGCCACGGCUAACUACGUG